GACGAACGCUGGCGGCGUGCCUAAUACAUGCAAGUCGAACGCUGAAGAGAGGAGCUUGCUCUUCUUGGAUGAGUUGCGAACGGGUGAGUAACGCGUAGGUAACCUGCCUUGUAGCGGGGGAUAACUAUUGGAAACGAUAGCUAAUACCGCAUAACAAUGGAUGACACAUGUCAUUUAUUUGAAAGGGGCAAUUGCUCCACUACAAGAUGGACCUGCGUUGUAUUAGCUAGUAGGUGAGGUAAUGGCUCACCUAGGCGACGAUACAUAGCCGACCUGAGAGGGUGAUCGGCCACACUGGGACUGAGACACGGCCCAGACUCCUACGGGAGGCAGCAGUAGGGAAUCUUCGGCAAUGGGGGCAACCCUGACCGAGCAACGCCGCGUGAGUGAAGAAGGUUUUCGGAUCGUAAAGCUCUGUUGUAAGUCAAGAACGGGUGUGAGAGUGGAAGGUUCACACUGUGACGGUAGCUUACCAGAAAGAGACGGCUAACUACGUG
rnacentral:rRNA from 1 species